GACGAACGCUGGCGGCGUGCUUAACACAUGCAAGUCGAACGGUAAGGCACUUCGGGGUACACGAGUGGCGAACGGGUGCGUAACACGUGGGCGAUCUGCCCUGCACUUCGGGAUAAGGCUGAGAAACUGGGUCUAAUACUGGAUAGGACUACUGCCUGCAUGGGCAGUGGUGGAAAGAGUUUGCGGUGUGGGAUGGGCCCGCGGGCUAGCAGCUUGUUGGUGGGGUGAUGGCCUACCAGGGCGACGACGGGUAGCCGGCCUGAGAGGGUGACCGGCCACACUGGGACUGAGAUACGGCCCAGACUCCUACGGGAGGCAGCAGUGGGGAAUAUUGCACAAUGGGCGCAAGCCUGAUGCAGCGACGCCGCGUGAGGGAUGACGGCCUUCGGGUUGUAAACCUCUUUCAGCACCGACGAAGCGCAAGUGACGGUAGGUGCAGAAGAAGGACCAGCCAACUACGUGCCAGCAGCCGCAGUAA
rnacentral:rRNA from 1 species